rnacentral:lncRNA from 1 species
GCAUCCUGCACUUGUGAUAUUCAGAGCCCUCGGAACCAGAGGAAUCUGCAGCCACGCAUACCGGGUGACCUGAAGUCUGGAGAGGCCUUGAAAUCUGUGAAGAUCUACACGAGCUUGUCCACUGCCACUUGUCAUUAUAGAAUCUGAGGGUUUCUUAGACCUCAGGAGUGGGGAACUUGAGGACCUUUCAAAGGAAGCGUCCGUCACCGCAUGCAACAGGUGUGCAUCUCCAAGAAGCGAAAUAUGAGAAACAUGCAACUGCCCCUCCCCCCAAGCGAUCCGCCUCAAAUCCAAAGACAAUGUAUGGUGUCCAGAUUGCCUACUUAAGAAAACACAGAGGACAUAUUCUCUCUACAAGGAUAUUCUUCAGUACCCAGUUGGAACUAUGGAUUCAAAAUUUUGAGUGCUAAAUAUUUUGCAGUGUACUUCGAGGGUGUCCACACACUGCUUUCUGGGGGCUGCAGAAACAGCAUUAUGAGCACAUCUCUAUGCACAUUACACCCUGGUGGACACGGAGUGUGCACUGAGAAUACUCCGCACACGCAAUUUUGAUUGAGAAGUUCUGACUUUAAGGCUUGGAAUCCCCAUUUACUAAAUUUAUAAACUUAGAUCAGACUCAUGUACUUGCCCUGUAAGAACCAUGGUCUGUCCUUGGGAAAAUGGCUCAGUACGUCCCACCUGUCCCUGAAGUUCCUGGGAGGAGGAGCA